UUAAGUUCAGCGGGUAGUCCUACUCGAUUUGAGGUCAAGUUGUCAGAAAGUGUCCGAAGACGGUUUGAAAGCACAGAGCUCUCGAUCGGCCACCCUCUUCCGAGGUGCCGGCGAAGACACUUAUCACGCCGUACUAUGUCCAACCAAGAGGUGCACUGACGCAUUUGAGGUGAGCCACAAGGAAAGCAGCAAACACCCAA
rnacentral:misc_RNA from 1 species